rnacentral:rRNA from 1 species
AUAUCAUUAAGCGGAGGAAAAGAAACUAACAAGGAUGCCCUUAGUAACGGCGAGUGAAGCGGGCAAAGCUCAAACUGAAAAUCGGGUCUCCACACGGGGAUUCGAAUUGUAGUCUAUAGACGCAGCGUCAGUAGUGACCCAGGUAUAAAUCUUUUGAAACAAGGUAUCAUAGAGGGUGAGAAUCCCGUCUUUGACUUGGAGUUCACUGCGUACGACCUGUGUUCAAAGAGUCGAGUUGCUUGGGAUUGCAGCUCUAAUUGGGUGGUAAAUUUCAUCUAAAGCUAAAUAACGAUCAGAGACCGAUAGCGAACAAGUACCGUGAGGGAAAGAUGAAAAGAACUUUGAAAAGAGAGUUAAAAAGUACUUGAAAUUGUUAAGAAGGAAGCGCUGGAAACCAGUCGUGCCGGUUGGCGUAUCAGCCCAUCCGUGGGGAGGAUGCAGUAAGCCGAGAGCCUUAAACCUCGGUCAAUGCGGAAUUUUCAUGGUAGGGACGCGCGUCAGCUGGUGAGUCAGAAUCGUUUUGUUUCGUGUGAGAAAGCUUGCGGGAAGGUAGGUUAGCGGGGGCAACUCCAAUGACUGUUAUAGCCUGCGAGUCCUAGCAUGGAACAGAUCGAGGAUUUCAACACG